CGAGAAAACUUCCGUCGGCCUGUUGGACCCAGUGAUGGCAAAGCUGGCAGUCGAGCAGGAGGAAAGCCAAGGGCCUGGAAAUCCUUCCAAGUUCCAUCUACAAACAAAACUUCGGGGAAAAACAAUGGAAAUGUGACGCACCUUAGGCUCACAGAGAUUCAGAGCAUUGGUUUUGUUUGAAGUCUCCCUGGGUGCAAUUUACAGAAGAACGUUCAGCAUUCGCUUGACGUGCAAAGGAGGAGCAUCAGCCAAAGCAGGACCUUUGCGACCUGAGCAGCCAAAGACUUACAGUAUACUAUAAGAUGACUGACAUUGAUGGAGUGACUGCGUCUGGUACUCAAACAAACCUGCAUUAGGGUGAGGUGGCAAUGACAGAAAAUGAUGGAUAGCUCACAGGAUGGAGGAGUGACAUGGAGGAGGGGAUCUGAGGUGAAGUGAGACAGGAUAGAGAUCGAGAUUUCAGUUGACAGAUCGACUGUCAGCUGAAUCAGAGUAAAAGCUUCUGAUGUCAUUUUUAAUCCUCUGACUCUAGCAUGUUUCUGUGCAAUAUAUCAUACUACCUGGCUGUUAGAGAUUGAGUCCCAUUGGUGAAACCCUUCCCCCUAACAGUGACUGUCCAGUCAUAGUUCAGCAACUGUAACAAGACAUGGCAGGACUGUCAAGCUUUGGAUUUCCCUGCAUGUUGAAGCCAUGUAUCUGUAGUAAUAAUAAUACUUUGGAAGGUGGUGUCUCAAAAGCCAAAAACACAAGAGCAAAAGUUUAAGGAAUGGAUUAAACAUUUGCGCUAACAUAAACUGCAAGCCCUGCUAAACUGCAUUAUGCAUCAUAGUUUUACGCUCAUCAAACAUAUUAUAAUAUCAUCCUAACAGCCUUUUCUCCGGUAAGUAAUAUUUCCACAUUAAAAUGUAUAAAAACAGUAGACCUAUGUUAUAUAUUUUGUCGAGUUUUGUAUUUACAUUAACCCAAAUGUUUCCAAAAAUGUCCAAAACCAGAGAAUUCAGUAUUUCUAUCCAUGUAAUAGUGUGUUUCACUGGUUUCCUGUCAAUGGCAUCCCCUUUGCGCAUGCAUCAGCGUUCUGGUUGUCUGCCAGAAGCUCUCAUAAAUUGAGUUUUUAUCUAGGCAUUUUUAACUAUAUGUUUUAACCAGAUGAAAGAUUUUAGUCAUCAGACGUCUGAAUCAUAAGUUAUCAAAGAAACAAGCCGAGCAAACGUGAGCAGCAGCUUGGCUGGCAGGCCCUCCAGGCGUCCUUUAAUCUGCCAAACAACAUUGAAUAAAACACUGAUUUUUAAGGUGAAAAUGCUUUAUUCAGUGUUUUGGACAUUUUUAAUCACCGGAUCCAUUUGUGUUCCUGUUAAAAACCUCCAAACACUGAAGGAAUCCUAUCCAGGAGAAGAUGCAAUGACAGCAGUGGUAUUGAAGAAAACAUCUCCCAUGAUCCCAAGCUACUUUAAAAUGUCAUCACACUUCUUCUUUUGUUAUUAUUUUUAUUUGAGAGACCCCAUAGUGGCAGAAAUUAUAUAUCAUACGUUUAAUCCGGCAAUAUCAUCAGUCAAUGACUGGAGAUGUUUUGGUCUACCUGUCUGAAAUCAAGGACCUGUUGUUUCAAAAAUAAAAUUCAAGUUUCAAGUGGUAAAUCUUCCCCUGUUAUCAUUGUAAACUGCAUAUGUUACCUACUGUACAUGACAGGAAAGAUUUGCCAGCAUAGCAACAGUAACUAAGAGGGGAAGGGCUUAGUGAAGACUCAGUUCUUCACGUCUCUCACGUAUUAAACUAAGGUUAUCCAGUCUGACUAAGCCAGUAUUGGUGCCUUAAUAAAAUCAAUUAUCAGCUUGUUAUAUAAAGUAACAGUUAUUAAUAGGCUAUCCCUACUUCCUAAUCGCUUAAAAAAACAUGGCAGUUUUAGAAAAAAAAUACUGUGGUUUGGGAAAAUGUAAGUAUCACCACUGAAGGUGUAUUUAAACAUUUUAUUAUAAAUGUUGCUUUCUUCAAUUUAGAGCUCUCCCUUUCUCAGUUUUUAGCUCCCCUCAGGCCACUCUCUGCUGUCACUAAGCCUUUAAUCACAUAACGGUGUGUUUACUGCACAUUUAUCUGGCCUCCAU